UGCCCCCGGUGUCGUGCGGGGCCCGGUGUGACGGGCAGCCGGGUGCCGAGCGCGGUUCACCGGGUGGGGUGCGGGGCGGCGGGCAAGCGCCUUGCGGGGGUGUUUCCUUCCCCGCGGACCGCGUUACCAACCGCCGCAAAUAAAUGAACGUGUGUUGUGGUGUUCCGGUUCUCCGGGGUUAGUUGUGGUGGAUAAACGCCGAGCUGCUGCCCAGGCCGGGGCUCGGCCAAGGGAUGAACCAGAGCUGGACCCAGCCGCUCGCCCGCUCUUGGCAUCUCUCCAGGUGCUACUAGCCAGGUCCGCAAACAGCAUGCCAAGCUCUUCGUUUAAGUGAUUUUUGCGCUUCUGAGGUGUUUUAGAACGUAGUGCAGAAGCUGAGCCCCAUGAAUAAUGCAGCUGAUAUCAGGAAGAAACUGGAGUUGUAGAAGACAUAGUGGAAAUCACUAGUUAGGUCCACCAGGAGACCUGAAAUAGAAGCCUCAGCUUAGUCCAAGAGAAGAUGUGUACUAAAGGCAACUGGGUGACAUUUACAUAAAUGUUAAACCUAAACCAUUCAUCAAACUGCCAUAUACAAAAGAUAAGCAUUCACAGACGAGUUAAGUUUUCUUCUCUAGAUUCUAGGGGUUGUUUGGUUUUGGUUUUGGUGGUGUUUUGUUUUGUUUUUGUAGUCACUGCUCAGGUGAUGUUUCUGCUUCUGUAUAAAGUAUUUCUCAAUACACAGAAAAAUCAGGAAAGAAAGGAAAUUGUAACUUUUCCCCAACCUGCUGAUUCAUUUUGUUUACUCAGCAGAGGAGCCCUGUGCCACUGCCACUCACUGGAUUUUGGAGUGAGUGACCCUGUUACAUCCCAGGUUAGAUAAUAGAACAAAUAAACAGAGAAGUCUCUCAAAAAUCAACAUGUUUGAGUCUCUAAACUGAAAACUUGUCUCUAAUGCUGUGUAAUCAGGGAGAAGAAAAUUCACAGCACAGCAAGCAUUAUGACUAACAAUAAGUGCCUCGAUAUAAAACGUUUAGAAGCAUGAUAUAUCAAAUGAGUAAUUUAAUACUAAUGUUAGAGAUGGAAAAGUGAUAUUCAGGUCAAAUAUAUGAUGCCUUCUCUAUAAGCUGCUUAUUUAUAUGGAAAUACUGGAAUAAUGUUUGUUUGCAUGUAUUCUUCAGUAAAGAUGGCGAUGAUUCUUUCCA